CAGAAUGACAAAAAGAAACUAAUAGAAAUAUGGGAAGUCUUCUAUGAAUUUAGGUCAAGAAAAGUUUAUCACAGACAUCAAGAUCAAACCUUAAACAAAAGCAGAUCCACUCCAUGCAUGAAGUUUGAGAAAUCAGCCUUUUCCAGUGUAGUCAUUCAAAAAACACACUUCAUUGCAGCUACUCCAUGUUGGCUCUGAGUUCAUUCCUCAAAAUACCUCUCUGCAGUAAUCAAAAAGCAGUUGUUAAAUAAAAAUAAAAUUAUC